ACUCGUGUCUUCUCCUGCGCGAGAGACUCGAGGACUCCCCUCCCUCCCCUCUCCAAACCCUCGCCUCGGCUCCCCCGCAGCCGCGCACGCCACCGCCGUCGCCUCUCCUCUCCACCGCCUCCCCACCCACCCGCUAGGUUUCCGCCGCUGCCCGGGGUUCUCGCCGCCGCGCCGCCCUCCCCCACGCUCGCUCUCCGGGUGGGGGUGGUGCCGCCCCUCUCCUCCUCCGUUUCCAGGCGGGUGCCGGCCGGGGGGGUCUCUCGCCCUCGUCUCCUCUCCCCCUGGUCGUCGGCACCGGCGGCUGGGAACUCGCCGACGCGUCGUUUCCCCGCGAGGCCGCCGCCUAGAUCUGGAGGAGGGGGUUUGGGGUUACAAUGGAUUGCAACAAAGAUGAGGCUGUUAAGGCAAAAGCUUUGGCUGAAAAAAAAAUGCGGGAGAAGGAUUUCGCUGGUGCAAAAAGGAUGA
rnacentral:lncRNA from 1 species